AGAGCGCAGGGUGGAUGCCUUGGCACUAAGAGCCGAAGAAAGACGUGAUAAGCUGCGAAAAGCUGCGGGGAGGAGCAAAUAUCCACUGAUCCGCAGAUGUCUGAAUGGGGAAACCCGCAUGAGCACACCUCAUGCAUCCAUACGCCAAUCCAUAACGUAUGGAGGGGAACCGCCUGAACUGAAACAUCUAAGUAGGGCGAGGAAGAGAAAGAAAAUUUAUCGAUUUCCAAAGUAGCGGCGAGCGAAAUGGAAAGAGGCCAAACCGGAGUGCGUGCACUCCGGGGUUCGGACCGCAUUUAAGAUCUGAUGAUCCUAGCAGAAAGGUUUUGGGAAAGCCUGCCGGAGAGGGUGAAAGCCCCGUAAGCGAAAGGAAAGCCAGCUGAGCGGUAUCCAGAGUACAUCGAGACACGAGAAACCUUGAUGGAAUGAGCGGGGACCACCCCGUAAGCCUAAAUACUACUUAGUGACCGAUAGCGCAUAGUACUGUGAAGGAAAGGUGAAAAGGACCCCGGGAGGGGAGUGAAAGAGAACCUGAAACCCUGUGUCUACAAGCUGUGGAAGCACCCUAUGAGUGCAACCGCGUACUUUUUGUAGAACGGUCCGGCGAGUUAUGUGGUGUGGCAAGGUUAAGCACAGAAAGUGUGGAGCCGAAGGGAAACCAAGUCUUAACUGGGCGAAUAAGUCACAUAACAUAGACCCGAAACCGGGUGAUCUAUCCAUGUCCAGGUUGAAGCUGCUGUAAAAGGUGGUGGAGGACCGAACGCACAUCCGUUGAAAAGGGUGGCGAUGAGGUGUGGAUAGGGGAGAAAUUCCAAUCGAACCCGGAGAUAGCUGGUUCUCCUCGAAAUAGCUUUAGGGCUAGCCUCGAUUUAGUCUUAUGGAGGUAGAGCACUGAAUUUCCGCGGGGGCGUCAAAGCUUACCAAAGAAUAUCAAACUCCGAAUGCCAUGUAGAUGAUGAAUGGGAGUCAGACUGCACGAGAUAAGUUGGGUGGUCAAAAGGGAAAGAGCCCAGACCUACAGCUAAGGUCCCAAAGUGCGUGUUAAGUGGAAAAGGAUGUGGGAUUUCGAAGACAACCAGGAUGUUGGCUCAGAAGCAGCCACACAUUCAAAGAGUGCGUAAUAGCUCACUGGUCGAGCGUCUUUGCGCGGAGAAUUUAACGGGGCUAAACCUGACACCGAAGCUUAGGCAAUGUAGUAAUACAUUGGGUAGGGGAGCGUUGUAUACGCGGAGAAACAGUAGCGCAAGCGGCUGUGGAGUGUAUAGAAGUGAGAAUGCCGGAAUGAGUAGCGCGAAUGCAGUGAGAAUCUGCAUGGCCGAAAGCCUCAGGUUUCUGGAGGAAGGUUCGUCCGCUCCAGGUUAGUCGGGAGCUAAGGUGAGGCCGGAAGGCGUAGCCGAUGCACAGACGGUAGAGAUUCCGUCACCACCAAAAGAGUUAAGCACAGGGACACAUUUGAAGUCUCAGAGCCGGGUGUUGGUUCCGGUAGAGAUCGAGGGAAGUUAGUACCGAAGUCUGGGAUGGAAGAUGGCGAGAAAAGCUGUGUGUAUUUCUGAGGUGCCCGUACCGCAAACCGACACAGGUAGGUAGGAAGAAGAUUCUAAGGCCAACGGGAGAAGGGUUGUUAAGGAACUCGGCAAAUUGACCCCGUAACUUCGGAAGAAGGGGAGCCCCCUACGGGGGGUCGCAGAGAAAUGGCCCAAGCAACUGUUUACCAAAAACACAGGUCUAUGCUAAAUCGAAAGAUGACGUAUAUGGGCUGACGCCUGCCCGGUGCCGGAAGGUUAAGAGGAGAUGUCAGGCAACGAAGCAUUGAAUUUAAGCCCCGGUAAACGGCGGCCGUAACUAUAACGGUCCUAAGGUAGCGAAAUUCCUUGUCGGGUAAGUUCCGACCUGCACGAAAGGCGCAACGACUUGGGCGCUGUCUCGACCAUGGACCCGGUGAAAUUGCACUGGUCGUGAAGAUGCGACUUACCCGCGGAAGGACGGAAAGACCCCGUGAACCUUCACUGCAGCUUGGCAUUGGCCGCUGGUCCCGCGUGUAGAGGAUAGGCAGGAGGCUAAGAUCCGGAGGCGCCAGCCCCCGGGGAGCCGCCCUUGGAAUACUGCCCUCGCGCGACCGGCGUCCUAACCCGAGGCCGUCAACCGGCUCGGGGACCGUGCCAGGCGGGCAGUUUGACUGGGGCGGUCGCCUCCUAAAGGGUAACGGAGGCGCGCGAAGGUCCGCUCGGGACGGUCGGCAACCGUCCUUUUGAAUGCAAGAGUACAAGCGGGCUUGACUGCGAGGCCCACAAGCCGAGCAGGUGCGAAAGCAGGCUCUAGUGAUCCGGCGGCCCCGAGUGGGUGGGCCGUCGCUCAACGGAUAAAAGGUACUCCGGGGAUAACAGGCUGAUCUUGCCCAAGAGUCCACAUCGACGGCAAGGUUUGGCACCUCGAUGUCGGCUCAUCGCAUCCUGGGGCUGGAGCAGGUCCCAAGGGUACGGCUGUUCGCCGUUUAAAGCGGUACGCGAGCUGGGUUCAGAACGUCGUGAGACAGUUCGGUCCCUAUCCG
rnacentral:rRNA from 1 species